rnacentral:lncRNA from 1 species
GGUAGGGUCAGUUUUUUUUUACUGUGAGAAUAAUAAGAUCACCUGAUUUUCAUACAUAUACACUAAUUAGGAUAACCCUAACCCUAAGUUAUGAAAAUUAUGAGCUGUUCGAUUAUCUGCUCUAUCAAAUGUAUCUCGUGGUCUACCUGAAGAUCACCUGAUUUUCACCUAUCUUAUCCUAGGUUUGAAGCAUGCACAAUGCAUUUUCUUUUAUUUUUAAAAAAUAUUUUUAAUGAAAUGGCAAAACCGUAAAUAUACCAUCUUCUUCUUUUAGAGUUCGAUAAGGGUUUCUGCAAUUU